AGUGAACGCUGGCGGUAGGCCUAACACAUGCCAGUCGAACGGCAGCACAGUAAGAGCUUGCUCUUACGGGUGGCGAGUGGCGGACGGGUGAGGAAUACAUCGGAAUCUACUUUUUCGUGGGGGAUAACGUAGGGAAACUUACGCUAAUACCGCAUACGACCUACGGGUGAAAGCAGGGGAUCUUCGGACCUUGCGCGAUUGAAUGAGCCGAUGUCGGAUUAGCUAGUUGGCGGGGUAAAGGCCCACCAAGGCGACGAUCCGUAGCUGGUCUGAGAGGAUGAUCAGCCACACUGGAACUGAGACACGGUCCAGACUCCUACGGGAGGCAGCAGUGGGGAAUAUUGGACAAUGGGCGCAAGCCUGAUCCAGCCAUACCGCGUGGGUGAAGAAGGCCUUCGGGUUGUAAAGCCCUUUUGUUGGGAAAGAGAAGCAGCAGGUUAAUACCCCGCUGUUCUGACGGUACCCAAAGAAUAAGCACCGGCUAACUUCGUG
rnacentral:rRNA from 1 species